AUGAGUGAAGAGGUAACUAGGGAUAUUCUUGCUUAUAAGGAUAGAGAUGAUCUAGAAAAAUUAUUAUGCAAGUAUAAAGAAAGAUCUUUGAAUGCUAGAAUGAAAUGCGAUCAUAAAUUCGCUACUUCACCUAUCUUUAUUGAUGAUAAGGAUUAUGAAUUCUCUGUCGACCCAGAGUUAAAUACUUUGGUUGAAUCUGAUCCUUUCCAUGGUUAUAAAACUGAAACUGUUGUGGCAGAUCUUACUAAGUUGCAUGACAUAGCCACCCUUUUUGGUCAUGAUGAGAAGAUUCACUAUUACUAUAUCCUCAGAUUAUUUCCGUUCUCAUUAAAGGGUGAUGCUAAAGCUUGGUACAAUUAUGUCGCUUCUGGUUGUGUGCGUAGUCCCCUGGAUAUGAUUUAUUACUUCUCUGACAAAUAUUUCCCUGCUCAUAAGAAACAAGCUGCCUUGUAG
rnacentral:rRNA from 1 species